GAUGAACGCUGGCGGCGUGCUUAACACAUGCAAGUCGAACGGGAAUUACUUUAUUGAAACUUCGGUCGAUUUAAUUUAAUUCUAGUGGCGGACGGGUGAGUAACGCGUGGGUAACCUGCCUUAUACAGGGGGAUAACAGUCAGAAAUGGCUGCUAAUACCGCAUAAGCGCACAGAGCUGCAUGGCUCGGUGUGAAAAACUCCGGUGGUAUAAGAUGGACCCGCGUUGGAUUAGCUUGUUGGUGGGGUAACGGCCCACCAAGGCGACGAUCCAUAGCCGGCCUGAGAGGGGGAACCGCCACAUUUGGACUGAGACACGGCCCAGACUCCUACGGGAGGCAGCAGUGGGGAAUAUUGCACAAUGGGGGAAACCCUGAUGCAGCGACGCCGCGUGAAGGAAGAAGUAUCUCGGUAUGUAAACUUCUAUCAGCAGGGAAGAUAGUGACGGUACCUGACGAAGAAGCCCCGGCUAACUACGUG
rnacentral:rRNA from 1 species